UGGGGAAUAUUGGACAAUGGGCGAACGCCUGAUCCAGCCAUGCCGCGUGUGUGAAGAAGGUCUUCGGAUUGUAAAGCACUUUAAGUUGGGAGGAAGGGCAUUAACCUAAUACGUUAGUGUUUUGACGUUACCGACAGAAUAAGCACCGGCUAACUCUGUGCCAGCAGCCGCGGUAAUACAGAGGGUGCAAGCGUUAAUCGGAAUUACUGGGCGUAAAGCGCGCGUAGGUGGUUUGUUAAGUUGGAUGUGAAAUCCCCGGGCUCAACCUGGGAACUGCAUUCAAAACUGACUGACUAGAGUAUGGUAGAGGGUGGUGGAAUUUCCUGUGUAGCGGUGAAAUGCGUAGAUAUAGGAAGGAACACCAGUGGCGAAGGCGACCACCUGGACUAAUACUGACACUGAGGUGCGAAAGCGUGGGGAGCAAACA
rnacentral:rRNA from 1 species